rnacentral:tRNA from 1 species
AUCCAGGGAUGGGAAUCGAACACACAGUGUUCCGCUUACCGGGCAGAUGCCAUGUCCUUUAGGCUACCCUGGA